rnacentral:rRNA from 1 species
UACAGAGGGGGCAAGCGUUGUUCGGAAUUACUGGGCGUAAAGGGCGCGUAGGCGGCCUGCUAAGUCGAACGUGAAAUCCCUGGGCUCAACCCAGGAACUGCGUCCGAUACUGGUUGGCUUGAAUCCGGGAGAGGGAUGCGGAAUUCCAGGUGUAGCGGUGAAAUGCGCAGAUAUCAGGAGGAACACCAAUGGCGAAGGCAGCUCGCUGGGACGGUACUGACGCUGAGACGCGAAAGCGUGGGGAGCAAACAGG